GCCUGGGUGGCUCAGUAGGUUGAGUGGCCGACUUUGGCUCAGGUCAUGAUCUCGCGGUCCGUGGGUUCAAGCCCCGCGUCAGGCU
rnacentral:tRNA from 1 species